rnacentral:ncRNA from 1 species
UCGGGGCGUUCUAUCUAAACUUCUCAAAAGGAAGCAAGGUAGAUGCGUGGUUGCGCGUCCUGAAUUAUGGCAUUGUUUUCGGGUUAAAUCCCACUUAACAAUUAAAAAAUUAAGCAAAAGACAACCACCUUUCCCGCUGACAAUAGCGUUAUCCCUCUGCACUUCGGUAAUAUGAGGGCACAGUAAAUCCCGCAAGGAUGAGAAUGUGAUGUGGAAUGAGUAAAUCUAAGGUGAGGAGGCAUCCUCUUUAGUCCGCAAGACACUUGGUUGAAAAGAAAGCAUAUAUAAGCUGGAAAGUACAUGGUAGUUAGUCUACUCGCUAUCCUAGUUACUUUGGAGUAAUCUAAAGUGUGUGUAAACGGGCGAAAGUCUGUAAAAUACUGGGGACAUAGGGUCAACACUCAGCCU